rnacentral:rRNA from 1 species
UACGUAGGGUGCAAGCGUUGUCCGGAAUUAUUGGGCGUAAAGAGCUCGUAGGCGGUCUGUCGCGUCGGAUGUGAAAACCCAGGGCUCAACCCUGGGCCUGCAUUCGAUACGGGCAGACUAGAGUUCGGUAGGGGAGACUGGAAUUCCUGGUGUAGCGGUGAAAUGCGCAGAUAUCAGGAGGAACACCGGUGGCGAAGGCGGUUCUCUGGGCAUUACCUGACGCUGAGGAGCGAAAGUGUGAGGAGCGAACAGG